GUAGGGAAUAUUGCGCAAUGGGGGAAACCCUGACGCAGCGACGCCGCGUGAGUGAUGAAGGCCUUCGGGUCGUAAAGCUCUGUUGCAGGGGAAUAAAAAAAUGAAGGUACCCUGUGAGGAAGGAUCGGCUAACUUCGUGCCAGCAGCCGCGGUAAGACGAGGGAUCCUAGCGUUGCUCGGAAUCAUUGGGCGUAAAGAGGGCGUAGGUGGCUUGGUAAGUCAGGUGUGAAAGCCCAGGGCUCAACCCUGGAAGUGCAUUUGAUACUGCUGAGCUUGAGUGUCGGAGAGGUUACCGGAAUACCUGGUGUAGUGGUGAAAUACGUAGAUAUCAGGUGGAACACCGGAGGCGAAGGCGGGUAACUGGACGAACACUGACACUGAGGCCCGAAAGCGUGGGGAUCAAACAGGAUUAGAAAUCCCUGUAGUCC
rnacentral:rRNA from 1 species